AUUGAACGCUGGCGGCAGGCCUAACACAUGCAAGUCGAACGAGUGGCGGACGGGCGAGCAAUUUAUGGGAACCUGCCUGAUGGACGGGGAUAACUACUGGAACCGGUAGCUAAUACCGCAUACCAUCAGAUGUGCCCAGGUGGGUUUAGCUAGCUGGUGGGGGAACGGCGCACCAGGGCGAAGAUGCCUAGCUGGUCUGAGAGGAUGACCAUCCACAAUGGAACGGAGACACGGUCAAGACUCCUACGGGAGGCAGCAGUGGGGAAUAUUGCACAAUGGGCGCAAGCCUGAUGCAGCCAUGCCGCGUGUAUGAAGAAGGCUUUCGGGUUGUAAAGGACUUUCAGCGGGGAGGCGUUACCCGCAGAAGAAGCACCGGCUAACUCCGUGCCAGCAGCCGCGGUAAUUC
rnacentral:rRNA from 1 species